rnacentral:tRNA from 1 species
GGGGUUGUGGCUCAGCCGUAGAGCACUCAUCUCACACAUGUGAGACCCUGGGUUCGAUCCUCAGCCCA